rnacentral:lncRNA from 1 species
UCGAAGAAAGUAAUUUGUAUGCCAGUCUAUCCGGAUCUAUCACCAUCCUCAUGAUGAUCCUAUGACCGAAAGUCUUUAGAAAUUAAAUACAUAUCUCUAAUUCUCAACAUCUUGAGAAUAUAUAUCGAAACUAAUUUCGUGGAUGAUUCAAGGAUAUAUUACACUUGAAUGAAAAAGAAUUUACCUUUUUAUUGAUCAUAUCAAUAUAUUAAGUAUAAAAUUGUAUCCUAGAUUAAUUAUAAUGUGUCAGCAAUAUUGGCUUCUAGAACAAACAUCUAACAAUCUUUCACUUGGACUAAAAUCAAUUGGCCAUAAAUCUAAGUCUCAUCUUUUUAAGGUGG